rnacentral:rRNA from 1 species
AUUGAACGCUGGCGGCAGGCUUAACACAUGCAAGUCGAACGAUGAGUCUCUAGCUUGCUAGAGAUGAUUAGUGGCGGACGGGUGAGUAACAUUUAGGAAUCUGCCUAGUAGUGGGGGAUAGCUCGGGGAAACUCGAAUUAAUACCGCAUACGACCUACGGGUGAAAGGGGGCGCAAGCUCUUGCUAUUAGAUGAGCCUAAAUCAGAUUAGCUAGUUGGUGGGGUAAAGGCCCACCAAGGCGACGAUCUGUAACUGGUCUGAGAGGAUGAUCAGUCACACCGGAACUGAGACACGGUCCGGACUCCUACGGGAGGCAGCAGUGGGGAAUAUUGGACAAUGGGGGCAACCCUGAUCCAGCCAUGCCGCGUGUGUGAAGAAGGCCUUUUGGUUGUAAAGCACUUUAAGCAGGGAGGAGAGGCUAAUGGUUAAUACCCAUUAGAUUAGACGUUACCUGCAGAAUAAGCACCGGCUAACUCUGUGCCAGCAGCCGCCGUAA